GUAGGUAUCCCCUUGUAGCUGCCAGGAUGUCUGGUGGCCGUGCAAUGAGAUGCCUGGGGAUUCUCACAGAAGGGACACUCCCUGGCUUUUAGCGAUGCUGCUUACUAAGACCACAGUUUGCUGGCAGCCCGGAGCAGCCAAUAGCUGAGCCGGACGUUUCAGCCUCUGGGGAGCAGGGAGCAGAGCUGCCCCACACCAGUGGAGGAGCCUCUGACCUGGUCCAGGGCUCAGCCUCCCGGGGGGGCAACGAUGCUUUCUGAACAGCCCUGUCCACCUACUCCUCCUGCAGAUGGGUCUGGAGUCCUGGAUUGGAAACCAUGCUCUGCUCUGAGAAAGACUCGCUCAUGUUCAUCUCAACUCAGUCACCAGCCUGAAGCUGAGGGCCCUGAUGCUCGGCUGCCUCCGGCUCCUGAGUUGGCUCUGACCCUGGACAGGGUCUCAUGACAUCACACUGGGUCCACCAGGCAACUCAAGACUAUUUCCCAAACUCCGUUCCCUCUGCGGGAGCCCCCUUUGUGCCACGCACACUCAUGUUCACAAGGUGACAUUAAGUGAUGAAGACUGGAGGAGCCACGGCGCUGUCUAUGAUGGUGGGGCUGGGAUGCCAUUUGGUGCGAUGGGCAGUAGUAGGGUUGGGAGCAGGAAGAAGCUGCCCAAACCUUCUUGGUUUGGAAGGACCACAGGGAGGGCAGAGCUGCAGCUACAUGGGUGAAGGCCUCAGUGGGCCCGGCUGUGCGUGCCCUCACACCUCAGUCACACUGACUGCUGUGCUGUUCCUGGAUGGAUGGACGUGCUCAUGGCCCACGCCUGGUUUUACUGGAAAAUGUAUAAAAUUCUGUGUAUAACUGGGUAAAUCACCAUUGUUUGACCCCCACUGGAUUAAACAUGAAGCUGUGGACUGAAGUAGGGACUCUGGAGGAGAGAGAGAGGAGAAAGGAGACGGGGAAGAGAGGAAGUAGGGAAGGGAGAGGAAGAAGUCAUGAUGUCAUAAGGAACGGGCACACAAAGGGAAAUAAAUCAGACGCAGAAGGUUAAACAUCACAUGGUUUCUGUUAUACGAGACACUCCAUAUAUAAAUAAUUUAAAGAGCAAAAUAAAAGAUAGAUGACAGGAAACAGGGAGACAGACUUUGCAGAGAUGGGAAGGGGAUCAAGAGAUGAGGAGACUGGAGGAAAGGGAACAGGAAGAGGAAGAAAAAAUGAUUAAGAUGUGAUAUGCAUAUGUCAUUAUUAUGAAUCACAAAUAUAUACAGAGAGAGAGAGAGGGAGGGAGGAGAGAGAGAGAGAGGACUCAUAGGAGGGCAGCAGGAAGGAACAAUUCCCACUCCCUGCAGGGAGGGGCCAGCCAGUGAAAUAGACAAAAGCAAGUGUUUUCUCCUGGCACAGUCUCUGAUCUGCAGAGCCAGGCUUGCAGCAAGGAAGGAAGUUGGUAAGAGGAAGAUUCUAAAAAGAUCUACCAGCCUUGGUCUUGUCAGUUCAUGACAUGACAGGGACGUCUCUUGGCAUGAAAGAACCUUAAGGGGCCCAUAGAGCAGUCUCCGCCUUACACCAAGGCACCAGGCUCUGUAGUCGGCAUCACAAAGAUGGACACACCUCACUCUGCUGAGCAGACGUGUGAACGGCGGCAGGAAGGCACAUGCUGUGUGCCAUCAUGCACUGCAAGGAGGCAGUGUGCCUGCCUGCUCCUCCCAACCCCUUGGCGGCACUCACUACGAUAUGGGUGUCAGUCCCUCGCAGGGAGAGGAAGUUGGGAGACAGGAAGAACCCAGUCUGAAAGUGCCAUGUCUAUCACCAUCAACCCAAACAGGCCCCUGGUCGUAACUGGCUUAUCCUUGUCUCACCCAAUGAAAUUAAGCAGAAAAGAAAAAUAAGGCAUGUUUUUAAACUACUCUGUGACCUCAAACAGAGGAAUAAUAUCUAGAAUUACAAAGAAUUCAGAAAAAUUACAGCCCCCCCAAUAAAAGACCCAAUGAAAAAUGGGCAACUAAAACAAAUAGAUAUUUCUCUGAAGAAAAUGAAAAAAUGUUCAACAUCUCUGGUCAUUAGAGAAAUGAAAAUCAAAACAACACUGAGAUUCCCUUACCCCAGAAGAAUGGCUGUCAUCAAGAAAUCAAAUAAUAACAAAUGCUGGCAAGGCUGUGGGGGAAAGGAACCCUGCUCCAUUGUUGGUGGGAGUGUAAGCUAGUGCAAUCACUAUAGAAAUCAGUAUGGAGAUUCCUCAAAAAACUAAAACUACAAAUUCCAUUUGACCCAGCUAUUCCCUUUCCAAGCAUCUCCCCAAAAGAGUUAAAGUCAUCAUAUUACAAAGAUCCAUGCAUAUCCAUGUUUAAAGCAGCUUAACUCAUAAUAGCUAAAUCUUGGAAGCAGCCUGUAUAUUCAUCAACAGAUGAAUGGAUAAAGAAAAUGUGGUAUUUACAUACAUCGGAGUACUAUCCCACCAUUAAGAAGAAUAAGCUUGAGUCAUUUAUAGGAAAGCAGACACACCUCAAGACCAUAAUGUUAAGUGAAGUAAGUUAGACACACACACUUAAACGAGAAACCCAAAGUAUAAACAAAAGAGCAAAAUAAAAAAAAGGCAAUUGGAAAUAGGGAGACAGAUCUUUGGGAAAUGGGAAGGGAACCAAGGGAUGGAGGAAGGAGGAGGGGACACAGAAAGGAAGAAGAUGCAUCAUGUGCAUGUACCAACUAGCCACAAUGAAUAUAUUCAUUACGUAUUGCAAACAUGUAUUAAUAAAAUAAAUAAGCCAACGAGG
rnacentral:lncRNA from 1 species